GAUGAACGCUAGCUACAGGCUUAACGCAUGCAAGUCGAGGGGUAACGAGAGGAAAGCUUGCUUUCCUUGUCGACGACCGGCGCACGGGUGAGUAACGCGUAUCCAACCUGCCCCCAACUAGGGAAUAACCUUGCGAAAGUAAGACUAAUACCCUAUAAUUUCCUCAGAUGACAUCUGACGAGGAAUAAAGAUUUAUCGGUUGUGGAUGGGGAUGCGUCUGAUUAGCUUGUUGGCGGGGUAACGGCCCACCAAGGCAACGAUCAGUAGGGGUUCUGAGAGGAAGGUCCCCCACAUUGGAACUGAGACACGGACCAAACUCCUACGGGAGGCAGCAGUGAGGAAUAUUGGUCAAUGGGCGGAAGCCUGAACCAGCCAAGUAGCGUGCAGGAUGACGGCCCUAUGGGUUGUAAACUGCUUUUAUACAGGAAUAAAGUUAGCCACGUGUGGUUAUUUGUAGGUACUGUAUGAAUAAGGACCGGCUAAUUCCGUGCCAGCCGCCGCGGUAA
rnacentral:rRNA from 1 species